AUAAUUAAUAACUCGAGGCUCGAGCACAUAACGAAUGUUUUGCAUCUGAGCUUCAUCUACCUUCCAACACACUUGAAAAGUUGUUUCCUGUACUGCAACUUAUUUCCAGAAGACUAUCUUUUCCAAAGAAAAAAGCUUGUGCGACUAUGGCUGGCGGAGGGGUUCAUCAUGGAGAAGGGUUGCAGCACAUUAGAAGAAGUGGCAGAAAGCUAUGUUAAGGAGUUGGUCAACAGAAAAAUGCUUCAACUUGUUGGAAGGAACUCAUUUGGUGGGAUGAACAGAUUCAUAAUGCACGAUAUCAUUCGUGAACUAGCUGUUGAUUUGUGCCUGAAGGAUUGUUUUGGUGUUAUAUAUGAGGGGGAUAAAUUUUUUUUUGGGGGGGGGUCUCUUUAGAGAGAUGGUCGUCGAUUGGUAGUGCAUAAACUAAAGAAGGAUAUUGAACAACCAUUUUCAAGUUUACACAGACUUUGAACUUUCAUUGCACUAGAGAAAAGCAUGCCAUCAUUUACCCUACUAGCUCUAUUAUCUGAGAAGUCAAGACAUAUGACAGUGCUAGAAUUAAGUGGUCUACCCAUUGAGAAGAUCCCCGAUGCUAUUGGCGAUAUUUUUAAUCUCCGCCAUUUAGGCUCGCGGUACUCCAAAGUGAAGCUUCUCCCGAAAUCUAUCGAGAGACUUCCGAAUUUGUUGACACUGGACCUUGCUAUAUUAGACAUUCAGGAGCUACCUGGAGGGAUUGUUAAGCUGAAGAAGCUUAGGCACUUAUUUGCUGAGAAAGCUAUUCCAACAAGACAUAUUCAAUUUUCUAGAGGUGUAUGCAUUCCUAUUGGGCAUGGCAACCUAACAAGUCUGCAAACACUUCAAGUAUUGGAUGUGCAGGAUGGGUCCAUUCAACAGAUAGGGGAGCUAAGGCAACUAAGAAGCUUGAGGAUAUGGAAUGUGAAGAGAACCUAUUGUGAACGCCUCUGUGUGUCUCUAGUACAAAUGCCAUUUUUGUCUUAUCUAUGUGUGGGUGCAUCUGAUGAGAAUUAGGUUCUCAUGUUGAUCAGCCUCCCACCUAGCCUGCAAAAGCUAAAUUUGAGAGGAUGAUUAGUAGAACGGACAUUCUUGAGGGAGUCUCCUCUCUUUCAAGCUAUGGAGCAGAACUUGUAUUCACUACGUCUAUCCUGGUCGCAGUUGAGAGAAGAUCCUUUAUCAUCCCUUUCCCAGUUGGCAAAUUUGACGGAUCUAUGUCUCGACAAAGCGUACAACGGAGAGAAGCUGGAGUUUCUCACGGGGUGGUUUCCAAAGCUGAAGGGACUUUUUAUCAGGGACGUGCCUGGCCUGGAGAGGCUAGAGAUACAUCAAGGUGCUAUGGCGACUCUGGAAAACUUAGUACUCGGCAACCUAAAAAGCAUGACAGAGAUCUCACCUGGCCUUGAGUUCCCAUUGCCCCUGCAGAAUCUAUGCUUCCAACAAAUCACCCGUGACUUCCUUGAUAGAUCCUUUGGAUCGGGGUAG
rnacentral:rRNA from 1 species